rnacentral:rRNA from 1 species
AAGUCCCGCAACGAGCGCAACCCUCGCCUCUAGUUGCCAGCAUUCGGUUGGGCACUCUAGAGGGACUGCCGGCGACAAGUCGGAGGAAGGUGGGGAUGACGUCAAAUCAUCAUGCCCCUUAUGACCUGGGCUACACACGUGCUACAAUGGGCGGUACAAAGGGCUGCGAACCCGCGAGGGGGAGCGAAUCCCAAAAAGCCGCUCUCAGUUCGGAUUGCAGGCUGCAACUCGCCUGCAUGAAGCCGGAAUCGCUAGUAAUCGCGGAUCAGCAUGCCGCGGUGAAUACGUUCCCGGGCCUU